UCCGCCCACCCAGCAUGAUGUGUCCGGCAUGGAAUCAAGAGUCCCCAGCGCUCCACAUUCCCAAGAAAAUGCCAGGAACCCCCAAACCUCCUUCCCCCAUCACACAAGAUGGGGUUGGCAGCUGAUCAGGCCCCAAUAAUUUUAUAGUGGAAUAAGCUCUUUGAAUGUGUAUGUUCUUAUUUUUACAGAGAUAUUAUAAAUGCUCAUAUCCAACAUCUUACAUCGAUACAGUUUUGUAUUUUCAUAUAAAUAUGCUGACAUUAUAAAAAAGACUGCUCACACUUAGAAGAGCCAAGAGGAAAUGCUUGGUCAGGACCCCCCUCUCGGCUCCUCCAGAGCAGGCCUUCACUGGAGCAAGUCCCGCUAAAGGCUACUCAAGUGCAGCAGAGUCCAGUCAGAGACCUGUUUCUUCUUGGCCCUUUAAGUUUUUCCCUCUGAGCUGCAGGAGGGCCAGCGAGGAAGGGAAGACACGUAUUUGCAACUCAAACCUUGGGUUCUGCUUUUGGGCCCUGGAAGGAGACUGUGUGUACAAGUCAGAAGUGAAACAGCAGAUUCGACCGUCCAGACCAGACCAAGCUGGUAACACUGGGGUCAUAAACUCACAGAGCCAAAGAGCAUGGAAUUCAGGAAUAUAGAAAGUGGGAGAAACUGACAUGAACCAGGCCCCUGACCCUGGUGCUAAGGCCUGGUUCCUGCCUCUAUUUGUCUCCAUAGAAACAACCAUCAGAUCAACAACAGCUACCAAGAAGCACCUGUGUCUCAGAAAGUAUGUUCCAGGAGGGUUCUGAGGAGAUCUUACCCCAGCAGAGGCGGAACAGUACGAGACAUGAAGUACCAGUUCAGGGCCUUUCUGCGGCCACACCAGCCUCCUGUGGAAACAUGCAGCCCUCUCUUCACAUGGCGUUCAUGUUGUUUUUUACAGAGAAAGGAAUAAAGGACUGUGCUCAGAAGAACCAGGAAGGACUCCAGUACUCGACCUGUCUCAACUCUUGUUUGUGUGGGUGUUGCGGGCAGAGAUGAGAAGGAAGAUGAGACGGUGCGUGUCUCAUCUGGGUAUUGUGGGGGCUGGGGAAGAGUCUGCACUGGUUUCGAGAUUGAUCAGAGAAACAAACAAAGGAAAGUAUUCUCUGAAAAAGUAGCAAAAGUCCCGAUUCAGGCUCAAAAGACAAUCUCAUUGAAUGACUCCAGGCUACUUCCUCCAGCAGCUUGCAUGAAUCUAAGAACAAUGCAAACUAGCCCCGUGCAGGCUGGGUGUUUUACCAGAGCAGUGUAGAUGGAAUGGGGGGUCUUGGAAGCUGGGCCUGGCCAUGUUUAGGCUCUCCCCAUCUCUCUGUACCUCAGUUUCCUUGCUCCAAAAUGAAGAGAUUGAAAUAAGUGGUUUUGUAACAUGGGAAACCCUGGUGGCAUGGUGGUUAAGUGCUAGGGCUGCUAACCAAAGGGUCAGCAGUUUGAAUCUGCCAGGCACUCCUUGGAAACCCUAUGGGGUAGUUCUACUCUGUCCUAUAGGGUCACUAUGAGUCGGAAUCGACUCGAUGGCACUGGGUUUUGUUUUUUUUGGUUUAAGGGUAACAUGUGUGAAAUGUUUCCAUUCAUUCUGCGUUUGCAGUUUUUAAUGAUAAAGGUGAUAUGACACAAAACAAUAAAAUUCAUGAAACGGAGGCUAAUUUAAUCAUCCAUAAUCCUACCACCCUAAAACAGGUCAUUUAUUUUUUAUAUUUAAAUGUUUUUAAUCUUGCAGGACAAUAAAGCAUAACUGGUUCUGGAAAGUGCUAAAAUGGUUUAGCUGCUUUUUCCUUUCAGGACAAAAAAAAACUCUUAUUAAUACGUUUGGGUUUUUUUUUUUUCACGGUGAAGCCCUUGUCCUUACUAAACUUCAAGGACCUAUUCUAUGUCAUGAUUACUCUUGAGAUAUGAUUGUCAUCUUCAGUAAAUAGUACUGAUCACCCCAGACACCUAAACACCCCCUACACACACACACACACACACACACAGAGGCUGUUUUAACGCCUGUAGGCCUAUUAAAUUUUAACGUGAGUGUGUUUUGCAACAACUUUUUUCAUCCUGUAACAGAACCAGGAUCUUGCAAAGUAACCACUUCCUCUCCUCUCAGCUGCUUCUCCCUUCCUCCCAGCCAGCUACACUCAAAUGCUUUGAGAGUGAGCUCAGGAAGAGGGGUUAAGUGGAAUCGCUUCCUCCAACCCAGCCCACCUCCGAACUUCUUUCUGAGGUUUGCUUAACAGUCUUCCAAAAAGGAGACACCUCCUCUCCUCCACCCCUCACCCGCUCAGGUUCUUCAGAAAGGCUGUAAGCAGGCAAUACUCUCCAGGGAUCGGACCUCUGAUGGCUCAUUUUCUAUGGCUCUAACACAACAGGUGCUCCAGCGACUCAUCCUUCAGCAGCUGCAGCGGCAUCAGUCACCUGCAGCAAUGGGACGAUUGGCUCCGAGCCUCACUAUUGCUCGCUUUGGGAUUUAAAGCAUCAGCUUCCCCUUUCGAGACCUGGGUGUAGGAAGGGUCAGCUAUUCGGAGACUAGUUUAUGCUCUGACCAGUGUAUUUUUAAACAUGCACACACCAAACAGCAAUAAGAACAGAGUCCUGCAGUUUUAUUUUAGGGGAGCAGGUCAUGGGGUCACUCAAUUUUGAGUCUCUAUAAAGAGGAAUCACCAAGAGUUGAAGGUACACAAUCCUGUUUUUCCUCACUGCCUACAUCUUUCUAAUGAGAGAGGGAAGGCUGAAAGAAGCAUGGCCAUCGAAGGACCAAACUACAUAAAGGAUCGGUAUUAGGCAAAGAGCAGGCUAAAAAGCACCUAAAAAAAAAAAAACAAACCCAAACCUGUUUCCAUCGAGUCAAUUUUGACUCAUAGCAACCCUAUAGGUCAGGAUAGAACUGCCCCCCCUAGAAUUUCCAAGGAGCACCUGGUAGAUUUGAACUGCUGAUCUUUUGGUCAGCAGUCAUAGCACUUAACCACUAUACCACCAAGGUUUCCAAAAAGCACCUCUGUGUGCUUUUUGAUGAGUAAGGUGCACCUGACCUAAGCCAUAGUCUCUUCAACUGCUUCAUAAGCACGCAACAGUUGGACAAUGAAUGCAAAAGGGGAACAGAAGAAGGAUUAAUGCAUUCGAACUGUGAUGUUGAUGAAGACAUUGAAUAUACCAUGGGCUGCCAGAAGAACGACUAAAUCAGUCUGAGAAGAAAUAUAACCAGAGUGCUCCUUAGAGCAGUGACAGAGAGACUUUGGGCACAUCAUCAGCAAAGACCAGUCGCUAGUCAGAGACAUUACGGUAACAAACUGGAGGGCUGGCAAAGGCAAAGAAGGCCCUCGGUUAGACGGAUUGACACAAUAGGCACAACAGUGAACUCCAACUUACCAACAACCAUGAAAAAGACUAGGAGUUGGAGCUGACUUGGUGGCAAGUAGCAACAGUCCACGCAAAAAAGGAUGAGAGGCUGAUGGGCUGUGAACACCACGGAAGGAUCAGCAACCACCUCUCGGACAAUUGUUAAAAGGCGUGGGAAUAACUAAUGAAUACCAACAACAGAAUUCCCUAGUUACAAACUAGCUUCAGGUUUUGCCUCCGCCAGACAAUCCCUACUCUCCAUGACCUCCGUCAUCUCCUCUGGCUAAAAAUCAGCCUCGACAAUGAUCGCUUCCUUUGCCUUGUCAUCAAGGCCACAAGAACAUAAGGAAGAGUGACACCCACAUGACCGUGCCUACUGGGGCUUCCUCCAACAUCCUCAGUGACAUUAUUUUUGCAGGGUAGGGAGGAAAAACCAUCCUCAAGGUCCCCAGAAGGGCUCCAACCUUGAACUUGCUCAGAGUAGAUUUUAACAACAAUUUUGGAAGACAAAGGAACAUACAUCAUCUCAUUUGCCCUUCACGAGCCUGUGAAAUAUUAAUACCUCCAUUCUGCAGAAGAAAUGCCCUUCUUUCAGACCUUUACCCAAUGUCAACUUCUCAGUGACGCCUUCCCUGGCUAUGUCAUCUAAAUAUCAACACCACCCUUGCCGAAGCAUUUCCAUCCACCCCCUCCUCUGGCUUUCACAUUUCACCUGAGCACUAACUCAGUCUUGAACAGGCUAUUUUAUUUACUUUCCUUGUUUGUCUGUCUCCCUAACUAAAACCUGAGCUGCACGAGGACACUGCCAUGUCUGUUUUGUUCCCUGCUGUGUCCCCUCACCUAGGACAGCACCUUGCAUACAGACGAUGCUCAAUAUGUAUUCAAUGGACAAGUGAAUGAAUGAAUGAGGAAAAUGAAGCUCCUAAGGUUGAAUCCACCAACUUUGAAUCUGCCAUGGAAAGGCAAAACCAGAGCGGGCACUAAAAUCUUCCCAUCCCAUAUCUUCUCCCAGCACCAAAAGGCCUCCCUCCCUGGUACCAGUUGCCAAGGUGUUGAGUUCUACUCCUGGAGACCCGCUGUAUGUCAGAAUAGAGCUGUACUCCACAGGGUUUUCAGUGACUGAUUUUUCAAAAGCAGACCACCAGGCCUUUCUUCCAAGGCACCUCUGGAUGUGAGCCGCCAGCCUUUUGGUUAGCAGUGAGUACAUUAACCAUUUGCACACCCAGGGACUCCCCCUUCCUGGUAGAAGUGGGGAAAGUGUUACAUCAGCUGGCACCAAGUGAGAGAGGGAGCCUACCAAACAAAAUUAGGGUGUUGGUGGGGGAAGGGGGUAAUAGGGUCUCUAUAAGUCGGAAUGAACUUGACGGCAAAGGGUUUAGCUUUGGAGUUUGGGGGACUAAACACACCCAGUUCUCAUUCUCUUUGAGAAAGGCUAGAAUAGCAAAGGCAAGUUGAAGGAUGCAUGAGCAAAAAGGAAAGUGACAGCUGACUCCAGACUGGCGAAAGAAACAAAAUGUAGAGGAUGAAGCCAACCCGAAUUUUGAAAAUUUGAGUAGAGCUUUGGGGGUGGAGGGUUCUACUUCAUUCAGGGCUUUCACAUAUAAGAGGAAACUUCCUAACAGCCUAAGACAGCCCUGUGGGGAGCAAUGAAGGGUGGGGGAGUGAAGAAGUUGUGGUGGAAGGAUGGCACCCUAACCCACCAUGGAAAGGGAGGGAAUGAAGGCAGGCUUUUUCUUGAGUGCCUAAAGGAGGGUGUGGGAGUCCCUGGGUGGUGCGAGUCGUUAACACACUCACGCCUAACUAAAAGGUUGCAGCUUUGGUUCUACCCAGAGGAACCUUGGAAGAAAGGCUGGGCUAUCUACUUCUGAAAAAUUAGCCAUUGAAAACCCUAUGGAGCACAGUUCUCCUCUGACACACACGGGGUUGCUAUAAGCUGGAGUCAACUCAGGGGUAACUGGUUUUAAAGAAGGGUGGAGAAGUAGAGCUUCAUAAAGCCCAGCCACGCAGAAUAUAAGAGGGAACUCACGGCACCUCAGGACAAGAGUAAUGCACACAAAACGGCUAGGUCAGGAUCCACCAAACCCUGGAGCUUAGGCUGGGCUUGAAUGGCCACAUUCCCAGAAGCUAUGGGCUGGAAUCCCCCUACUUCUAUGUUUCCAACAGCGACAGGAAGAAGCAGCUCCCUUGGGGGUAGGAGCAGGGGACCCUUAGAGCCAGCAUUCCAAAUGUCACCAUGUGCUUGCACUGAGGGUCCCACUCCUCCACCCCUGGGGUUCAAAGUCCCGUCCUGGGGAAAGACGCUCAGGCCUGGGUCAGAUGCCUUGUUAGGAAAACACUUCAGGGUGAGUGACGGUAAUGGGAGUACAAGAUGACAAACUAGGGAUAGUGACCGGACUUUGAGAGAGGCGGCCAGGUGGCGCCCCAGAAGUAGCCCAGUUUGCCGGAACACCCAGCGGGGUUUGGGGGAAGUGAAGGGUUUUGCUGGAGAGGAACUCCUGAAGGGUGGUCUCAAGACCAGCGUGCCGGUCCAGCUCUUACAAAAAGAGGCACUGGACCUGACACCAGUGUGAAAUGACAGGAAAGGGGGCUGAAAUUCCUGGGAGCAUGUAAAAGGCUUGUUCAGUAAUCUCCCACAGCGUUUAGUCCUCUGGCUUAAGCAACUACUGAAUUAAAAAUCCUCCACGUGGGUGAAAUGACGUGAUGUUCAGGAUUUGCUUUAAAAUUCUCCAGCAAACAAAACUAGUUGCGGGGGAGGGGAUGUGAACAGAAAAAAACAUGGUGGGGAAAUGUACCUGCUGAAGCUGGGCCAGGGUUAUGUGGGAAUGUGUUACACCAGUGGGUCUUCAAGUGUGGUUUCCAGACUAGCAACAUCAGCAGCAUCUGGGAACUCUAACUUGCGGAUUCUCAGGCUGCCAGAGACCUCAGAUCUACUACAUAAAAAACCCUUGGGGUGGGGCCCUGCAACGUGUGUUUUAGCAGCUCUUCAGAGGGUUCUGAUCUGUGAUUCGAUUCAUGCUGCAAUGCGAAACACACCGCAUUAAACCAUCUUCUCUCCGUCUGUGUAGGAGAGAUGAUGUUCAUAAUAAAGAGAGGUAAAAACCAUCCCUUCGGGCGUUUUGGAAGCCCUGUGGGGCGGUUCUUCUCUGUCCUGUAGGGUCCCUAUGAGGCAGAAUUGACUCGACGGCAAUGGGUUUGGUUUUUUGUUUGUUUGGGUUUUUUUUUUAACGGGCAUUUUUGUUGUCGAGUUGUUUCUUACAUCACUCCUCUUCAAUUGCUAUGUAACUAUUGUUUUGAUCUUUUCCCGGAGUCAGAACGAAAAGCCAGAAAGCAAGUGCGGUGACGACUCUCCCUCUCCGCUCCCUCGG